UCUCUCCUUGCUCUGCAUGGGUUACACUUGUCCUGACUUGUGUGACUUUUGUAAUGUGGAGAGAGAGAAAAGUUCUCCUCAGGAUGUCAGGUUGGCCUUAACAGUGGCCUCUCUUUCCUUGAGGGGUCCAACAGGG